GCAGUCAGGGGCUCUCCAGGCAGUAGCAGAAGCCAAAUUCUUUGCAGUUUUUGCCUCAUACUCCCCUCCUGGAGCCUAUUAAUAUCAGUGUCCCUGCCCAACUUCAGACUGAAGGAAUGAGCAUCUCUGUGGGAACUGAGAACUUGAAAAUCUCACCACAUUGUUCUCCCAGUCCAGUGCUGCAAUGUGCCUAACAAAGCAGCAGCCUGAAUUCAAGAAUGGAUGAAUGGAUACCUCCCUGAAGCAGCUACAAAUAUUCUGUUGGCAAUUGAUUGGUUCCCUUCCUCUAUUCUCCUUUAAUACUUUCUCUAUAUUUCCAGAAUAGUACUUACCACUUUAUAUGUCCAUCUCCCUGGUAUAGUCUGUGAGUAGAGACCAUUAUUUCCUUUUCUUAUAGUAUCUGAAUCUGACAUAUAAUAUACCCUCAAUAAAUAAAGGAAUGAAAAACUUGAGAGUAUGCUUCUCAAACUUGUGGGCGGCACUA